GAAAUGCCUCAUGUCUUCCGAAAGCCUAAACACUGUCAUGCAAAUCAAACCCCUUCAUAAAUGAUUAGAGGUGUUCUCAGGAGAAGUGAGGGUCUGGGUUCAGGUUCAGAUCAAACCAUGUUCUCUACACUUCUACUCUUGCUGUUAACAGCUACAUCUGGUAUUAAAUGUAUUGAACUGGUUCAGCCUGCAGUCAUGCUGGUUAAGCCUGGAGAAUCAUUUUCAGUCCCCUGUAAGAUCACUGGAUACUCAGCCACUAGUCAAUGUACUAACUGGAUACGACAAUCAGGACAAAAACUGGAAUGGAUCGGCUGGUACUGCAGCUCCAGUGAUACUGGCAGCAGCGAUUCACUAAAGAACAAGAUCCGUUUCUCAGCUGAUGCCUCCACCAACACUGUGACUUUACACGGGCAAAACCUUCAGACUGAGGACACAGCUGUGUAUUACUGCGCUCGUAACUCACAGUGAGACAGAUCAACAAAG